rnacentral:tRNA from 1 species
CGCAACAUGGCACAGUGGUGAUUGUCUCUGCUUAUGUCCAUCAGGUGCAGGGUUCGAGUCCCUUUGGUGCAC